UACGUAGGGGGCAAGCGUUGUCCGGAAUCAUUGGGCGUAAAGCGCGUGUAGGCGGCUCGGUAAGUCUGCUGUGAAAGUCCAGGGCUCAACCCUGGAAAGCCGGUGGAAACUGUCGAGCUAGAGUCCGGAAGAGGCGAGUGGAAUUCCUGGUGUAGUGGUGAAAUGCGUAGAGAUCCGGAGGAACACCAAAGGCGAAGGCAGUGUCCUGGGGAGUACCUGACGCUCAGGUGCGAAAGCCAGGGGAGCGAACGGG
rnacentral:rRNA from 1 species